GACAGAGGUGCCGAGCGUUAGGCGGAAUCACUGGGCUUAAAGCGCGUGUAGGUGGCGAUGUAAGUCGGGUGUGAAAUCCCUCAGCUUAACUGAGGAAGUGCACUCGAUACUGUGUCGCUUGAGUGUUGGAGGGGAUGGCGGAAUUCCCGGUGUGAGAGGUGAAAUUCGUAGAUAUCGGGAGGAACACCUGUGGCGAAGGCGGCCAUCUGGACAACUACUGACACUGAGACGCGAAAGCGUGGGUAGCAAACAGG
rnacentral:rRNA from 1 species